rnacentral:lncRNA from 1 species
GUGAUUGAGUCCAUGUAAUAAGUGAUUUAAUUCACAAUGGGUUAGUGUUUUCAAUGCCUAAUCAGAUUGAGUCCAAGGCAUUGAAUGGGUCUUUGAUUAAUUAGGAUUGGUCACAUGUCAAAUGGGAGAGAGUUCUAGGAAAUUUGGACUCGAUCCUAUGCGCAUGGAAGGAGUCAUGGCAUGUGGUUGAGUUGUGCCUAGUGGAGUUCCAAUUCACACGCCCAAGAUAAGGAUUCAUGGGUGUCAAGAGUUAGGUGAUAAGGUGUUUGAUUGGUCAAUUAGGAGAUUUAAAUUUUAAAAAAGUCCUCAUGUGGUUAGGAGUCCAACUAAAUUCUAGUUGUAGUCCUUAUCUUUUCCAACCUUCCUUUCUACAUAAAGGAAGAUAUGAAGAAUAAAAAUUAGAAUUCUUGAGUGUUAUUUUUGAAAGAAAAUCCUUGCCUACGUGAGAGAGACUCACCCCUUCUUCGAUGUGACGCCACUAGGCUGAAGGAAAGGGGUGAGACGCCUCUUCCUCUCACGCCUUGAUGAGAUUGGUUUGGGUGAGACUCCCACAACCAACUCAUCCUUAUCCCUUCCUUAAUUCAAGCCUCCCUUUGCUCACGCCUUUUUAGAUUGUCACAUCAGCAUCCAGCCAACUCCACAUGCCCNNNNNNNNNNNNNNNNNNNNAUUUUUGAAAGAAAAUCCUUGCCUACGUGAGAGAGACUCACCCCUUCUUCGAUGUGACGCCACUAGGCUGAAGGAAAGGGGUGAGACGCCUCUUCCUCUCACGCCUUGAUGAGAUUGGUUUGGGUGAGACUCCCACAACCAACUCAUCCUUAUCCCUUCCUUAAUUCAAGCCUCCCUUUGCUCACGCCUUUUUAGAUUGUCACAUCAGCAUCCAGCCAACUCCACAUGCCCAAAUCCUCCUCGUUUCUUUUAAAAUCUCCACUCCAAGUCUUCUGGAUUCUCUGAAAGAGUCGACUCCCCAGAUUUCGAGUCGACUCCAAGGAUACUCGAGUCGACCCCAGCUGAAAGUCAGAAAGCUUGUUCUCUGAAAACUCUGCGAGAAACGACUCCCCAGAUCUCGAGUCGACUCCAACAUUAGUCGAGUCAACCCCAGCUCAGUUCGAGUCGACCUCAGCUCGGCUGACAGCAAACGACUAUUUUGCAGAAGUACUUUUGAAGGCUCCAUCCUCCUCCCUUCCACCCACAAAGAACCCUAGCCACCAUUGCCAAAGGAGGGAGAAAUUCUGCAACCCAUCUCCCACUGCGCCAGUUUGGUCUCAGAGCAACCAUCCCACCUCCGUCCUGCGUCAAUUGGUAUCAGAGUGAAGAUCAUCAUGAGUACUCGCAGCAGACGCCCCUACAAUCUGGAGAGACAACUUGCUGAAGCCGUGCAUUAACUCACCCAGCAAGUGGCUACCUUGAAUCAAAAGGUGGACACCGUUGGGAUCACCUCUUCCCCGAGCCAAACAAUCUUGAAGAUGAUCAUGGCGUUCCUGCACACCCUGAAAAUCCAGAAGUGCCGUUCGGAGAACCUAACAUUGAGGCUUUCUCCCCAAAGGAUCUAUCACCCCAAAGACCACCUAGGGGUCAGCGGAUGCUACCUUCAAAUUUUCUUGUAUGGGGAAUAAUUUCAGGAACCUCUAUGUUCACCAAAAUCAGCGGGAGCGCAAUGAUUCCGACGAAGCCAUGAAGCGGGUUCGCGUAAAAGUUGCUGAUUACAGUGGAAGCAUGGACCCAACCCACUUCCAGGAUUGGCUGAUGUCCCUCGAAGAUUACUUUGAAUAAUUCAGCAUGUCCAAUGAAACCAAGGUGCGAUUCGUACAGAUGAAGCUAAAGUGCCAAGCACGUGUAUGGUGGCAUAGCGUUGAAGAGAAGCUUCAUUGACUCCGACAGCCCCUAUCAAUGAUUGGGAGGAGAUGAAACUUCGUCUGAAGAAAAAAUUUCUUCCCCUCGACUAUGAGGAGACACUCUUCGAAGAACUUCCGAAAUAUUAUCAAGAAAGCUCUUCCGUAGAGGAGUAUACGGCCCGGUUUCAUGAGUUGAUGAUCUCCAGCAACCUCACGGAGACGGAGCGACAGUCCCUAACUCGGUACCGAACCGGUCUAAGGGAUGAUAUUAAAAGGAAGUUGAUGACGACGCGCAUCUUCAGCCUAGAGGAGGCAUACCAACUCGCCAUUUGAGUUGAAUCACAGCUGCGACAAAGGCGCCCUGCGCAAGCACCGGUUGCACGACGGUUUUCCGAAUGCAGCACCAACCGAGGAGUUCCUUUUCCUCGAGGUAACGACCCUGUUUUCAUAUUUGAAACCUCUGUUAAUCGAAGUACAUAUCAAGAUAGAGGUGCCACAAGGACCAAUGAAAAGGGUAAAGGACCUAUGCCACAACCUACGCCGGAAGAAAAAAACUCUGUUGAAUGCUAUAAGUGCGGCGGGCGAGGCCAUUUUGCCGUCGUUUGCCCCACCCGAGACCAACGUUUUGCGUUGGUAUGUGAGAAAGACGAGAUCAUAGAGCCUUCUGAAGUUCCUCCCUCCUCUCAGCCCGCUGAUGAAGAAAAUGAAGGGAGCGAAGAACAUGAGGAAGAAGCCCAUGCAAUGGAGUUAGAAGCUUCAGAUCUACCCAUGUGCAUCGUGCGACGGAUUCUUACGGGUUGUAAACAAGAGAACGUAGAGGAAGAUUGGAGGCGCACCAAUAUCUUCCACACUCACGUCGAGCAUGCCAACAAAUCUCUAAAUCUUAUUAUCGACAAUGGAAGCUGCAUGAAUAUCAUAUCCGAAGAUGUGCUAAAAAAUCUGAAUCUGAAAUCGGUACCGCAUCUAAAGCCGUAUCGGGUAAGUUGGAUCGAAGAUUCCUCCAUACCUAUUAAACAAAGAUGCUUGAUCAGUUUUUCACUUGGUAAGGACUUCCGAGAUGAAGUAUGGUGCGAUGUUCUGCCCAUGAAGGCGUGCCAUCUUCUUCUAAGAAAACCAUGGUUCUAUGAUCGUAGUGUCGAGUAUGACGGUCGAUCUAAUUGUUAUUCUCUAUAUUGUGCCAACAAAAAAAAUGGAUUAAAGCCCCUUCGGAUCACUGAUUUUACCUCUGAAAAUUUGAUAAUCCAACGGAUUUUAACCAUGAGAAAGUUUGAAGCUUGUAGCCGAGAGAUUGGAGUCAUGUAUGCACUAGUAUCUAGAAAAGUUGGGGCUGAAAUUUCAGAAGUUGUUCCUCCUGAUUACAAGUCCAUAUUGGAUGAUUUUUCUGAUGUAACCCUUGAGGACCUUUCUAAGGAGCUUCCACCGAUGAUGGAUAUCCAACAUGCCAUAGAUUUGGUGCCCAGUUCAAACUUAUGGAAUCUUCCUGCAAACCAGCUGAAUCCUAAAGAACACGAAAAGCUUCACCGCCAAGUCCAAGAACUUUUGGAUAAGGGAUUCAUCCAAGAGAGCCUCAGCCCAUGUGCCGUCCCGGCUCUACUUACUCCCAAGAAGGAUGGUUCAUGGAGGAUGUGCGUGGACAGUAGGGCAAUCAACAAGAUUAUACUGAAGUACCGUUUUCCGAUCCCGCGGCUUGACGACAUGCUGGAUUUGUUGCAUGGAGCCAUCAUCUUCUCGAAGUUAGACCUUCGAAGCGGCUACCACCAGAUUAGAAUCAGACAUGGGGACGAGUGAAAAACAGCGUUCAAGACCAAGGAUGGACUCUUUGAAUGGAUGGUUAUGCCUUUUGGUCUCUCUAAUGCGCCAAGCACCUUCAUGCGAGUCAUGAAUCAAGUGCUGAAACCAUACACUAGGCGCUUUGUAGUUGUUUAUUUUGAUGACAUAUUGAUUUUCAAUCAAAGCCGUGUGGAACACUAGCAACAUCUUCGCCAAGUGCUUCACACCCUCAGAUCAGAAAAGCUUUAUGUCAACUUGAAGAAGUGCUUCUUUGCCGAACCACAAGUUCCCUUCGGUUUCAUAAUUUCAGCCAAUGGAGUCUCUGCCAAUCCAGAAAAGGUUAAAGCUAUCGAGAGUGGCCUAUACCCCACAACAUUCAUAAAGUGAGGAGCUUCUAUGGUCUGGCAUCCUUCUACCGAAAAUUCAUAAGGAACUUCAGCAGCAGAAUGGCCCCAAUCACAAACUGUAUGCGGGCUGAUUUCUUUCAUUAGACUCCGGCGGCCACCAAAGCAUUUGAAGACAUUAAGGUAAUCCUAGCACAAGCCCCAAUUCUUCGACUUCCAGAUUUUGAUCAGGUAUUUAAGAUUGCUUGUGACGCAUCCCACAUCGAAAUUGGUGGAGUUCUAAGCCAAGAAGGUCAUCCCAUCGCCUUCUACAGUGAGAAGCCCAAUGACGCGAAGCGCCGGUACUCCACAUAUGACAUUGAGUUCUACGCAGUGGUCCAGACCCUAAAACAUUAGAGGCACUACCUCCUACACCGGGAGUUCGUCAUGUACACCGACCACGACUCUCUGAAGCACAUCAACUCCCAAAAGAAGUUGAGUGCACGGCAUGCUAGAUGGGAAGAGGUGCUGCAACAGUUUACGUUUGUGCUGAAACAUAGGCCGGGUGCAGAGAACUGUGUUGCCGAUGCUCUCAGCCGAAAGUCACAUAUUCUAACUCUACUGAAAACUGAGGUAAUAGGGUUUGAUGAUCUGAAAAUUUUAUACCCUACUAAUGCCCAAUUUCAGUCCAUAUUUGCGGAGGUUUCAGCAGGAGACCGGCAGCAGCAUCCAGAAUUUUCAGUGCAUGACGGUUUUCUCUUUCAUGGCACUCGCCUAUGCGUCCUGAAGUCUUCACUUCGAGAUCACAUCAUUAGAAAGGUUCAUGGUGGAGGUCUUGCAGGACAUUUUGGCCGUGAUAAGACUAUCAGCAUGGUGGAAAAUCAAUUCUAUUGGCCGACAUUACGAAAGGACGUUAAUCGAAUCAUCAAGCAGUGUCGCACUUGCCAACUUGCCAAAGGAUCCAAGACUAAUGCCGGUCUUUAUUCUCCCCUGCCCUUGCCAAGUUCACCAUGGGAAAAUCUCAGUAUGGAUUUCGUCUUGGGUUUGCCAAAGACAGUUCGAGGCCACGAUUUGAUCUAUGUGAUUGUUGACAAGUUUUCCAAGAUGGCUCAUUUUGUGCCAUGUGCAAAGACUUAUGAUGCAUCCCGAGUUGCUGAUUUGUUCCUAAAAAAGGUGGUUCGCUUACAGGGGCUACCGAAGACUAUUGUAUCUGAUCGUGAUGUCAAGUUCGUUAGCUAUUUUUGGAAGACACUUUGGACGAAGCUUGGCACACGUCUAUCUUUCUCCAACGCCUAUCAUCUCCAAACCGAUGGACUGACCGAGGUGGUCAACCGCAGUCUUAGAAAUCUUCUUCAAUGCUUAGUCUGGGAUCAUGUGAAGUCAUGGGAUCUGAUUUUGCCCCAUGUCGAGUUUGCCUACAACAGCAAUGUCAACUGGACCACAGGAUUGUCACAUUUCGAGAUUGUUCUUGAGUUGAAGCCGCGGCAGCCCAUUGAUCUCAUUCCACUUCCCAUCAACACGAGGACCAGCGAAGGUGGUGAGGAUUUUGGUAGGCACAUACAAAACAUCCAUGCUGAAAUUCAACGUCGUUUGGUCACCAACACCGAGAUUUAUAAACAGCAAGCAGACUUGAAAGGGCGUCCCUUGGAAUUUAAGGAGAUCUUGUGCUGAUACGGUUGAGUGCUGAUCGUUUUUCCCGUAGAAAUUUUCAGAAGCUUCAUCCUUGUCGCGCCGGCCCUUUCAAGGUGCUGAAACGAUUGGGACCUAAUGCAUAUGUGCUUGAUUUGCAUGAAGAUUUGCAGGUUAGCCCAAUCUUUAACGUUGAAGACCUGCAGCUCUACGAAGGUUAUGCUGAAGAACCUCUAGCCGUACCACCUACACUCCCACGACAAUCAGCCCCAAAAGAUACAAUUGAAGACAUCUUGGAUGAUCAGAUCGUGUCCACAUGCUGAGGAGGAUAUCAGAAAUUUUUGGUUAAAUGGAAGGGCAGACCAAUUUCAGAUUGCUCAUGGUUGAAGAUGGAGGAAGUCCAACGGCUGGACCCGGAUCUCUAUGAGCUAUACCAGUCGCAAAACUCAACAGAGUCGAGUCUUUUCCCAGCCGGAGGAAUUGAUGCAGGAGCAUCACCCUCAUACCUUAGGCCAUGGAACAUUGGGUCAAGGUGUGUGAGGAAAAUUAAGUCCAAAGUUGUGUGAUUGAGUCCAUAUAAUAAAUGAUUUAAUUCACAAUGGGUUACUGUCUUCAAUGCCUAAUCAGAUUGAGUCCAAGGCGUUGAAUGGGUCUUUGAUUAAUUAGGAUUAGUCACAUGUCAUAUGGGAGAGAGUUCUAGGAAAUUUGGACUUGAUCCCAUGCACAUGGAAGGAGUCAUGGCAUGUGGUUGAGUUGUGCCUAGUGGAGUUCCAAUCCACACGCUCAAGAUAAGGAUUCAUGGGUGUCAAGAGUUAGGUGAUAAGGUGUUUGAUUGGUCAAUUAGGAGAUUUAAAUUUUAAAAAAGUCCUCAUGUGGUUAGGAGUCCAACUAAAUUCUGGUUGUAGUCCUUCCAACCUCCCUUUCUAUAUAAAGGAAGGUAUGAAGAAUAAAAAUUAGAAUUCUUGAGAGUUGUUUUUGAAAGGAAAUCCUUGCCUACGUGAGAGAGACUCUCCCCUUCUUCGGUGUGACACUACUAGGCUGAAGAAAAGGGGUGAGACGCCUCUUCCUCUCACGCGUUGAUGAGAUUGGUUUGGGUGAGACUCCCACAACCAACUCAUCCUUAUCCCUUCCUUAAUUCAAGCCUCCCUUUGCUCAUGCCUUCUUAGAUUGCCACAUCAGCAUCCAGCCAACUCACACCCAAACCCUCCUCGUUUUCUUUAGAAUCUCCACUCCAAGUCUUCUGGAUUCUCUGAAAGAGUCGACUCUUGAGAUUUCGAGUCGACUCCAAGUCUAGUCGAGUCGACUCCAAGGAUACUCGAGUCGACCCCAGCUGAAAGACAGAAAGCUUGUUCUCUAGAAACUCUGCGAGAGCCGACUCCCCAGAUCUCGAGUCGACCCCAGCUCGGCUGGUAGCAGCCUUC